rnacentral:rRNA from 1 species
UACGUAGGGGGCGAGCGUUGUCCGGAUUCAUUGGGCGUAAAGCGCUUUAAGGCGGUUCGCUAAGUCGGGUGUGAAACCUCCAGGCUCAACCUGGAGACGCCACUCGAUACUGGCGUGACUAGAGUUCGGUAGGGGACCACGGAAUUCCUGGUGUAGCGGUGAAAUGCGCAGAUAUCAGGAGGAACACCAGUGGCGAAGGCGGUGGUCUGGGCCGAUACUGACGCUGUAGAGCGAAAGCGUGGGGAGCGAA